CCCGCUCCUCGCCCAAGCGUCUGCGCUGCGCCCGCGUCCCAGCCAUGGCAAGAAACCACCAAGUGCAGAAGGCCAAGCUGGCCGAGCAGGCUGAGCGCUACGAGGACAUGGCGGACUUCAUGAAGGCGGUGGUGGAACACGGGGACGAGUUGUCCAACGAGGAACGCAACCUCCUCUCCGUCGCCUACAAGAACGUGGUGGGGUGCCAGCGCUCGGCGUGGAGGGUCAUCUCCAGCAUCGAGCACAAAACCGAAGAGGGGGACGACAAAGCGCAGCUGGUGAACGAGUACCGGGAGAAGGUGGAAAGGGAGCUGAACUGCGUCUGCAAGAACGUCCUGGCCUUGCUGGACAAGUAUCUCAUCAAGAAGGCGAGCGAUCCUGAGA